rnacentral:rRNA from 1 species
GAUGAACGCUGACAGCAUGCUUAACACAUGCAAGUCAACUGUGGCGGACGGGUGAGUAACGCGUAAAGAACUUGCCUCACAGAUAGGGACAACCUUUGGAAACGAAUGCUAAUACCUGACACUGUUAGAGAGCUUUGCGUCCCAUUAGCUAGUUGGAGAGGUAACGGCUCACCAAGGCGAUGAUGGGUAGCGGGCCUGAGAGGGUGAUCGGCCACAAGGGGACUGGGACGCGGCCCUUGCUCCUACGGGGGGAAGGAGUGGGGAAUAAUGGACAAUGGACCAAAGUCUGAUCCAGCAAUUCUGUGUGCAAGAUGAAGUUUUCGGAAUGAAAAGUGCUUUGAGUUGGGAAGCGGUACCAACAGAAGAAGUGACGGCUAAAUACGUGCCAGCAGCCGCGGUAAUUC